rnacentral:rRNA from 1 species
GUAGGGCGCGAGCGUUAAUCGGAAUUACUGGGCGUAAAGCGUGCGCAGGCGGUUCGUUGUGUCGGCGGUGAAAGCCCCGGGCUUAACCUGGGAAUGGCCGUUGAAACUGGCGAACUGGAGUAUGGAAGAGGUGAGUGGAAUUCCGAGUGUAGAGGUGAAAUUCGUAGAUAUUCGGAGGAACACCAGUGGCGAAGGCGGCUCACUGGUCCAUUACUGACGCUGAGGUGCGAAAGCGUGGGGAGCAAACAGGAUUAGAUACCCCGGUAGUCCUACCCGUAAACGGUGCAUAUUUGCUGUAAAAGGAAUCGACCCCUUUUGUGGCGUAGCAAACGCGUUAAAUAUGCCGCCUGGGAAGUACGGUCGCAAGACUA